GGGUUGUGAGGUUAAGCGACUAAGCGUACACGGUGGAUGCCCUGGCAGUCAGAGGCGAUGAAGGACGUGCUAAUCUGCGAAAAGCGUCGGUAAGGUGAUAUGAACCGUUAUAACCGGCGAUGUCCGAAUGGGGAAACCCAGUGUGAUUCGUCACACUAUCGUUAACUGAAUACAUAGGUUAACGAGGCGAACCGGGGGAACUGAAACAUCUAAGUACCCCGAGGAAAAGAAAUCAACCGAGAUUCCCCCAGUAGCGGCGAGCGAACGGGGAGCAGCCCAGAGUCUGAAUCAGCUUGUGUGUUAGUGGAACGGUCUGGAAAGUCCGACGGUACAGGGUGAUAGUCCCGUACACCAAAAUGCACAGGCUGUGAACUCGAAGAGUAGGGCGGGACACGUGGUAUCCUGUCUGAAUAUGGGGGGACCAUCCUCCAAGGCUAAAUACUCCUGACUGACCGAUAGUGAACCAGUACCGUGAGGGAAAGGCGAAAAGAACCCCGGCGAGGGGAGUGAAAAAGAACCUGAAACCGUGUACGUACAAGCAGUGGGAGCACCUUCGGGUGUGACUGCGUACCUUUUGUAUAAUGGGUCAGCGACUUAUAUUCUGUAGCAAGGUUAACCGUAUAGGGGAGCCGCAGGGAAACCGAGUCUUAACUGGGCGUUAAGUUGCAGGGUAUAGACCCGAAACCCGGUGAUCUAGCCAUGGGCAGGUUGAAGGUUGGGUAACACUAACUGGAGGACCGAACCGACUAAUGUUGAAAAAUUAGCGGAUGACUUGUGGCUGGGGGUGAAAGGCCAAUCAAACCGGGAGAUAGCUGGUUCUCCCCGAAAGCUAUUUAGGUAGCGCCUCGUGAACUCAUCUUCGGGGGUAGAGCACUGUUUCGGCUAGGGGGUCAUCCCGACUUACCAACCCGAUGCAAACUACGAAUACCGAAGAAUGUUAUCACGGGAGACACACGGCGGGUGCUAACGUCCGUCGUGAAGAGGGAAACAACCCAGACCGCCAGCUAAGGUCCCAAAGUCAUGGUUAAGUGGGAAACGAUGUGGGAAGGCACAGACAGCCAGGAUGUUGGCUUAGAAGCAGCCAUCAUUUAAAGAAAGCGUAAUAGCUCACUGGUCGAGUCGGCCUGCGCGGAAGAUGUAACGGGGCUAAACCAUGCACCGAAGCUGCGGCAGCGACACUAUGUGUUGUUGGGUAGGGGAGCGUUCUGUAAGCCUGCGAAGGUGACCUGUGAGGGUUGCUGGAGGUAUCAGAAGUGCGAAUGCUGACAUAAGUAACGAUAAAGCGGGUGAAAAGCCCGCUCGCCGGAAGACCAAGGGUUCCUGUCCAACGUUAAUCGGGGCAGGGUGAGUCGACCCCUAAGGCGAGGCCGAAAGGCGUAGUCGAUGGGAAACAGGUUAAUAUUCCUGUACUUGGUGUUACUGCGAAGGGGGGACGGAGAAGGCUAUGUUAGCCGGGCGACGGUUGUCCCGGUUUAAGCAUGUAGGCUGAUUGUCCAGGCAAAUCCGGAUAAUCAAGGCUGAGGUGUGAUGACGAGGCACUACGGUGCUGAAGUAACAAAUGCCCUGCUUCCAGGAAAAGCCUCUAAGCAUCAGGUAACAUUAAAUCGUACCCCAAACCGACACAGGUGGUCAGGUAGAGAAUACCAAGGCGCUUGAGAGAACUCGGGUGAAGGAACUAGGCAAAAUGGUGCCGUAACUUCGGGAGAAGGCACGCUGGUGUGUAGGUGAAGUCCCUGCGGAUGGAGCUGAGACCAGUCGAAGAUACCAGCUGGCUGCAACUGUUUAUUAAAAACACAGCACUGUGCAAACACGAAAGUGGACGUAUACGGUGUGACGCCUGCCCGGUGCCGGAAGGUUAAUUGAUGGGGUUAUCCGUAAGGAGAAGCUCUUGAUCGAAGCCCCGGUAAACGGCGGCCGUAACUAUAACGGUCCUAAGGUAGCGAAAUUCCUUGUCGGGUAAGUUCCGACCUGCACGAAUGGCGUAAUGAUGGCCAGGCUGUCUCCACCCGAGACUCAGUGAAAUUGAACUCGCUGUGAAGAUGCAGUGUACCCGCGGCAAGACGGAAAGACCCCGUGAACCUUUACUAUAGCUUGACACUGAACAUUGAGCCUUGAUGUGUAGGAUAGGUGGGAGGCUUUGAAGCGUGGACGCCAGUCUGCGUGGAGCCAACCUUGAAAUACCACCCUUUAAUGUUUGAUGUUCUAACGUUGGCCCCUUACCGGGGUUGCGGACAGUGUCUGGUGGGUAGUUUGACUGGGGCGGUCUCCUCCCAAAGCGUAACGGAGGAGCACGAAGGUUAGCUAAUCCUGGUCGGACAUCAGGAGGUUAGUGCAAUGGCAUAAGCUAGCUUGACUGCGAGCGUGACGGCGCGAGCAGGUGCGAAAGCAGGUCAUAGUGAUCCGGUGGUUCUGAAUGGAAGGGCCAUCGCUCAACGGAUAAAAGGUACUCCGGGGAUAACAGGCUGAUACCGCCCAAGAGUUCAUAUCGACGGCGGUGUUUGGCACCUCGAUGUCGGCUCAUCACAUCCUGGGGCUGAAGUAGGUCCCAAGGGUAUGGCUGUUCGCCAUUUAAAGUGGUACGCGAGCUGGGUUUAGAACGUCGUGAGACAGUUCGGUCCCUAUCUGCCGUGGGCGCUGGAGAAUUGAGGGGGGCUGCUCCUAGUACGAGAGGACCGGAGUGGACGCAUCACUGGUGUUCGGGUUGUCAUGCCAAUGGCACUGCCCGGUAGCUAAAUGCGGAAGAGAUAAGUGCUGAAAGCAUCUAAGCACGAAACUUGCCCCGAGAUGAGUUCUCCCUGAGACUUUAAGUCUCCUGAAGGAACGUUAAAGACGAUGACGUUGAUAGGCCGGGUGUGUAAGCGCAGCGAUGCGUUGAGCUAACCGGUACUAAUGAACCGUGAGGCUUAACCUUACAACGCCGAAG
rnacentral:rRNA from 1 species